rnacentral:pre_miRNA from 1 species
UGAGGUAGUAAGUUGUAUUGUUGUGGGGGUUUUUAUUUCCCCAAAUUAGGAGAUAACUAUACAGCUUACUGCCUUCC